AAGCAACGCUGGGGGUGCCGGCCCGCCGUUUCACAAACGGUGAGUCGGCUGAGAGAGUCCCUUUGAACCUGACUGAGGUAAUCCUCGCGCAGGGAAGCUGGUCCGGCGGCCG
rnacentral:ncRNA from 1 species